GUUCAAACUGAUUCCUGGUGUAAAGUCCACGUAGUAUUCCAUCUUUAAUUCCCAGUUCAAUGAAUUGGUGCAUGCUCCAGUGGCAAAUAUUUCAUGCAUAUUCAAUAGGCCUAUGAGGCAACUUAAUGGUAAAAGAAGUUGUUAACUCAAUUUUUAUGUGAUUAUGACUGUCCUUGUUUUUAGGGAGCUACCAUUUGAUUUUUAUGGGGGGCUAGGAUGAAAUUUGAAAAAAAUAGGCAGGACAGGAGUUUUGAGUAAAAAAAAAAAGGCAGGAUGAGACAUUUGCAAAAAAAAAAGUCGGGACGGCAAUUUAGUAAAAAAAAAGUCAGGAUAAACUAAAAAAAAAAGGCAGGACCGAACAGAGUGAAAAAUAAAAAGGCAGGACAGAUAUUACAGCUAAAAAAAAAUGCAGGACAAAAUUUUUCACAAAAAACUUACAACUAAGAUUGAUCGUAAGUCAUGAACAAUCCAGUAUACUUACGAUCAAUCUUAUUAAUAAGUUUUUUUUGUGAAACCGACUCCUGGCUCCUAAGAAGUCUACAGAUUUAACGCUUGAUUUGAAAACUUUUAAAUAAGUUAUAGCUCAACAGAAGAAAUGCACCUAUUUUUGCAUAUGAUAAUAAUCCGAGGAAUGUCCUUUUAUUCCAAUCUUAAUUUUGUUCAAAAUAGUUUCAUAUUUUUCUCUGUUCCAUAUAACACUUUUCUGAUUAGAAUUAGCAUUUUCAAUUAGUUGGUUUGUAAGUCUUUGUUCUGGUGUAAGAACAACAUGCCCUUCUGCCAUAAUGAAAGUAGAUCAUUAGUAAAAUACAGAGUGACUACUAACUCAUAGUUGUUGCUCGUUGGAGUUUCUAAUUAUAGACAUUAAAACUAGUAAAACAUGAAAACUUAACCUGCAGGCUACAUUUUUAAAGAAUAAUCUUAAAUUCAUUUUACUCAACC
rnacentral:lncRNA from 1 species